rnacentral:rRNA from 1 species
UAGGAGAAACAAUGCUAAAAUCAGUAAUAAGAGGACCCAGCCCUCUCCUAGCACACGUGUAAGUCAGAACGGACCUACCACUGACAAUCAACGGACCCAAACAGAGAGAAAAAGAACAAACUACAAAAAACAAGAAAAAACUAUUUAAUACCCUAAACCGUUAACCCAACACAGGAGUGCCUUAAGGAAAGACUAAAAGGAGAAGAAGGAACUCGGCAAACACAAACCCCGCCUGUUUACCAAAAACAUCGCCUCUUGCUAACAAAGGAAGUACUAGAGGUCCCGCCUGCCCUGUGACCACAAAGUUUAACGGCCGCGGUAUCCUGACCGUGCGAAGGUAGCGUAAUCAUUUGUCUUUUAAAUAGAGACCUGUAUGAAUGGCAUAACGAGGGUUUAACUGUCUCCUUCCCCUAGUCAAUGAAAUUGAUCUGUCCGUGCAGAAGCGGACAUAAAUACAUAAGACGAGAAGACCCUAUGGAGCUUUAGACAAAAGAUCAAACAUGUAAAGAAACCAAACUAACCAAAAGGAACACAAAGGCCACAAAACCCAACGUAAACUGAUCCAAAUGUCUUCGGUUGGGGCGACCAUGGGGGAAAGAAAAGCCCCCACGAGGAACAGGGACAACCCCUAAACUAAGAGAGACACCUCUAAGCAACAGAAAAUCUGACCAAAAAUGACCCAGGAUACUUAUCCUGAUCAACGAACCAAGUUACCCUAGGGAUAACAGCGCAAUCCUUUCCCAGAGUCCAUAUCGACGAAAGGGUUUACGACCUCGAUGUUGGAUCAGGACAUCCUAAUGGUGCAGCCGCUAUUAAGGGUUCGUUUGUUCAACGAUUAAUAGUCCUACGUGAUCUGAGUUCAGACCGGAGUAAUCCAGGUCGGUUUCUAUCUAUGAACUUACUUCUUCCCAGUACGAAAGGACCGGAAUGAAGAGGGCCAAUACUAAAAGCAAGCCCUACCUCUACCUGCUGAAAACAAAUAAAACAG